AAUCAACGCUGGCGGCGUGCCUAACACAUGCAAGUCGAACGAGAAAGGGGAGCAAUCCCUGAGUAAAGUGGCGACCGGGUGAGUAACACGUGACUAACCUACCUUCGAGUGGGGGAUAACCUCGGGAAACCGGGGCUAAUACCGCAUAAUGCCUUUGGGUUAAAGGAGCAAUUCGCUUGAAGAGGGGGUCGCGGCCGAUUAGGUAGUUGGCGGGGUAACGGCCCACCAAGCCCGUGAUCGGUAGCCGGCCUGAGAGGGCGCACGGCCACACUGGAACUGAAACACGGUCCAGACUCCUACGGGUGGCUG
rnacentral:rRNA from 1 species